AGUGCCAUAUUAUGCAAGACACAACAGACAACAAUCCCUGACACUGUCGGUGGCACACGUCAGUUCUGCCAAGCCAGUCAAGGCAUUGAGGUUAUUGGAAUCUUUCUAUUUCGAUGCACGUGACAUCCUUGUGCUUCUUGAAGAUAUGUUUCACCCUUGCCAUCGAAACAUGUGGGAACACAAUUCGUUCUAACUGUAUGGAUGCUUUGACGUCAUUGAGGAAUGGAUUUGUAAUUUUACAACGUCAAUUGAGUUUUUUAAAACUUAAUCUAUUAUAGAUUUGAUUUGGUUGUCUGAACUAUAUUGCACAUUAGGACAACUUUCUAAAUGUCAAAAGUUUACUAUUCAAUGUUUGACAUAAAUAUGUUGCAUUUCUGGAACACACUUAUGCAAAAAUUUAAAUCAGUUUCAGCCCGAAUUGGGCCAAUGAGAGUUGUAGCAACAGCUUCCCUUGUACAGUACUCACAGCACAAUCCCUUUCUCUAACACCUUGAUAUUGGAAAUGUUGAAGAUUAAAAUUACCAACAAUUCCAUCUACUUUCAAAAUCAAACAUUAAGGACUCUAAUCAGAUGUACUUGGGACACUUGUAUUAAGUGCACUUGGCAACAGACUUUUUAACACCACAAUAAAUUAAUUUUUUUUAAUAGCUCUUUAAUAUUCUAAUACUGUUGAGCUAUCCGCUCUAUGGAAAAACAAAUGGAUGUGGGCAGGGGAACUUAGAUUUUCGAGAGUCUGGAAACACUAAUUCUCAAGACUAUACAAAUAUUACUUUUUAAGUAAAAGAAUAAUUCAUUAAAGAAUAUGUUGACACUUGCAUUUUGUGAAUAACUGCUAAUCUACAAUGUAAGGUACACCUAAUUUGCAGUUUAAGUUUGCGUUCAGAUUUUAAUUUACUUGGAGAAUGUAAUUAAUUCUGAAAAGAUGACAGAGUCCCUUUGAACACACUAACUUUUCUGUUACCCUAUCUAUGUUGCCUUAAAUGGAAAUCUUAACAAUAAACUUGAUGUUAGCCUUA